GGCAACGGCCUCUCAGGAGAGAGGUCAGAGAACAGCAACUGUCUGUCAGUUUCCUUGUGUAUCAUCUUCUCACAAGAUGAGAUCCAUUCUAGGUUGGAACUCCAGCAGCCACUGUCAGGUGGCUCCUGUGUGUCCCAGCAGCUCUCCCGUGUAUUCCAACAUAUGGCACCUGAACGUGGGGUAAGAAUUACAAGAAGAACCAGAGCUGUUCAUGAGAAGGAUCCUUCUAGAAUUAAGGAAGAAGAGUCCUGAAAUGUGAUGAUUACAACUUUCCUGAGGUCACAGAGUGAUGGAAAUGAAACAGCACAUUGGAGUGGAAUCACAAAGGUAAGGUUUUUUUUAUUCCUAUCAGACUUCCCUGCU
rnacentral:lncRNA from 1 species